rfam:Oxytricha trifallax strain JRB310 Contig6923.0.1 macronuclear, whole genome shotgun sequence.
GGUAGCUUGGCCGAGUGGUCUAAGGCGCUAGCUUUAGGCGCUAGUCCGAAAGGGCGUGGGUUCGAACCCCACAGCUAUCA